rnacentral:rRNA from 1 species
ACGAACGCUGGCGGCAUGCCUAACACAUGCAAGUCGAACGAGACCUUCGGGUCUAGUGGCGCACGGGUGCGUAACGCGUGGGAACCUGCCCUUAGGUUCGGAAUAACUUAGNGAAAUUUGAGCUAAUACCGGAUAAUGUCUUCGGACCAAAGAUUUAUCGCCUUUGGAUGGGCCCGCGUUGGAUUAGCUAGUUGGUGGGGUAAAGGCCUACCAAGGCGACGAUCCAUAGCUGGUCUGAGAGGAUGAUCAGCCACACUGGGACUG